GGCCGUAUGGCGAAAUGGCAUCGCGUCUGACUACGAUUCUCUCGGGAUUAGGAGAUUGCAGGUUCGACCCCUGUUUCUGUUA